GCCCGUAUAGAGUAAUAGUUAACUCGUUGGACUCCUAUAACAGUAUAGGGCGUUAGCCAAGGAUCCUGGUGCAAAUCCGGGUGCGGGUA
rfam:Fusarium fujikuroi IMI 58289 draft genome, chromosome FFTJ_chr06